rnacentral:rRNA from 1 species
CACGUAGGGGACGAGCGUUGUCCGGAAUCAUUGGGCGUAAAGCGCGUGUAGGCGGCCCGGUAAGUCCGCUGUGAAAGUCGGGGGCUCAACCCUCGGAUGCCGGUGGAUACUGUCGUGCUAGAGUGCGGAAGGGGCUACUGGAAUUCUCGGUGUAGCGGUGAAAUGCGUAGAUAUCGAGAGGAACACCUGCGGCGAAGGCGGGUAGCUGGGCCGACACUGACACUGAGAGACGAAAGCUAGGGGAGCGAAUGGG